AGUGUGUGUGUGUGUUU
rnacentral:miRNA from 1 species